rnacentral:rRNA from 1 species
UACGGAGGGUGCAAGCGUUAUCCGGAUUCACUGGGUUUAAAGGGUGCGUAGGCGGGCAUUUAAGUCAGUGGUGAAAUACCUGAGCUUAACUUGGGAACUGCCAUUGGUACUAUUUGUCUUGAAUGUCGUGGAGGUUAGCGGAAUAUGUCAUGUAGCGGUGAAAUGCUUAGAUAUGACAUAGAACACCUAUUGCGAAGGCAGCUAACUACGCGAAUAUUGACGCUGAGGCACGAAAGCGUGGGGAUCAAACAGG